rnacentral:rRNA from 1 species
GUAGGGUGCGAGCGUUAAUCGGAAUUACUGGGCGUAAAGCGUGCGCAGGCGGUUCGUUGUGUCGGCGGUGAAAGCCCCGGGCUUAACCUGGGAACGGCCGUUGAAACUGGCAAACUGGAGUGUGGCAGAGGGGGGUGGAAUUCCGCGUGUAGCAGUGAAAUGCGUAGAGAUGCGGAGGAACACCGAUGGCGAAGGCAGCCCCCUGGGCUAACACUGACGCUCAGGCACGAAAGCGUGGGGAGCAAACAGGAUUAGAUACCCUGGUAGUCCACGCCCUAAACGAUGUCGACUGGGUGUUGGGGAAGCGAUUUCCCAGUACCGUAGCUAACGCGUGAAGUCGACCGCCUGGGGAGUACGGCCGCAAGGUUA